AGCAAUGGUUCUGCUUAACAAUUGUAGUCUGGAAAAUUCCAGUGGCUGUUCUGACUGUAAAUCUCUUGGGUAACAUGCCAGGAUUAGGCUGCAUUAAUGGGCUCAGAAGGCCUGGAUAGAUAAGGGAAAUGAUGUAUUUCUCUAAAAGCAAAGGAAAAUACUUAAAACCAUAACUUAAUGGAAGUGCAGGAACCGAUCAAAAUGUAGGUGAGACAAGCACGCCAUAAGAAGACUGAGAGAAGUGAAUGAGCAUCAGAGAUGAAGAAAGAAAAGGGAAAAAAAUACUUCAAGCCUAAAAGGUAAUGAAAUAUCAUAAUGGAAAACUCUUAAUCUGUAACCAACAGAAAAGCUCUCAAAGAAUUCAGCAUGAUUAAUGAGCACAUCCCACUUGUCCACUACUGGAAUUGUCCCAAAGAUGCUUUUGGUUAGCCUGAUGAAGAUGCCCUUGUGCCUCGAUACUUUUAUUCAAUUAUGUAAAGCAAUCAUUGCAUUCACCUGUGUAAUAGUCCAUGGAACAUUAAACAUAAAAGAGCCAUAGUAGGACAAUGACUUCUUCUCAGUGUUUCUAUCUGAACUUCAUUGAAUAAAAUAUAUGGAAGAGAAGAACAA